AGAGUUUGAUCCUGGUUCAGGACGAACGCUGGCGGCGUGCUUAACACAUGCAAGUCGAACGGAGAUAAUAGUAAUAUUAUCUUAGUGGCGGACGGGUGAGUAACGCGUGGGCAACUUGCCUCAGACUGGGGGAUAACACAGGGAAACUUGUGCUAAUACCGCAUAACAUCAUGAGAUGACAUCUUCUUAUGAUCAAAGGAGUAAUCCGGUUUGAGAUGGGCCCGCGUCCGAUUAGCUAGUUGGCGGUGUAAUGGACCACCAAGGCGACGAUCGGUAGCCGAACUGAGAGGUUGAUCGGCCACAUUGGGACUGAGACACGGCCCAGACUCCUACGGGAGGCAGCAGUGGGGAAUAUUGCACAAUGGAGGAAACUCUGAUGCAGCAACGCCACGUGAAGGAUGAAGGUUUUCGGAUUGUAAACUUCUUUGAUUGGGGACGAAUAAUGACGGUACCCAAAAAACAAGCCACGGCUAACUACGUGCCAGCAGCCGCGGUAAUACGUAGGUGGCAAGCGUUGUCCGGAGUUUCUGGGUGUAAAGGGCGUGUAGGCGGGAAGAUAAGUCAGAUGUGAAAUUCCAUGGCUCAACUGUGGCGCUGCAUCUGGAACUAUUUUUCUUGAGUGAUGGAGAGGAAAGUGGAAUUCCUAGUGUAGCGGUGAAAUGCGUAGAUAUUAGGAGGAACACCAGUGGCGAAGGCGACUUUCUGGACAUUAACUGACGCUGAGGCGCGAAAGCG
rnacentral:rRNA from 1 species